UCGGCCUGUGGAUGGACCGCUUCGGUGCGCCGCGGCUGAUGGCCGCGGGCAGCCUGCUGGUCGGGCUGCUGCUCGGCGCGCUGGCCGCCGCGCCCGGC
rnacentral:tRNA from 1 species